CCGGAGAGUCCCCUGGUAGAGAGUCCCCUGGUGGGCCCCAGGGCCAGGCGAUGCUACAGAGGAGAGAGGUCCAACUCCUGCUCCUCAUCUAGCACUGCUACAGCUACAUACAGGUCUCCAGUGUUGAGGCGACAGGCUAUGUUGGCCAGUAGUUGUUCCCAGUUGGAGCUGCUAGGGGCGCCACCUCUCGCCAGCGCUCCUCUAUCCUAGAGAAACGAGUCAGGCCUUGCACCCCUUUACGACGCGGUUCUGCCUCUGCCCCUGCCUCUGCAGCUCCUCCCACUUCCUCAUCCUCAGCUGUCAAUCAGCAGGGUGGUCACGGCAACGGCGUACCCCUCCCCCUACAGCCGUUGUACUUGCGUCGUCAGGGCGGAAGGAGCGAGAGGGGGGAUAGUGACGGGCUUCUGCCCCUAGUGAGGUCACACAGCGAGCCUGGCCUCAGCUCUUCUGCUGAUACAGGGUUAACUAGUCCAACACUCUAACCACCUGCCUCACGAGGAGCCCACCUGUUCCGCGAAUGCAGUAAGAAGCCAAGCUCCUUCUCUUCUCUCCCCUCCCUCUCUGCUCUCUCCCUCCCUCUCUGCUCUCUCUCUCCCUCCCUCUCUGCUCUCUCCCUCCCUCUCUGCUCUAGUUGACUUCAGUGGUGGCUCAGUGGGCAGUAAAGGAGUGAGGAGGGCUCUCAGACCUCUACAGACACAGGUCCGUCCUCCGAGGCAUGCCUGCUACCCCGCUCCUCUCUGGUGCCCCCUCAGCCCUCCUCCCCAGGAAGGGCAGUGUGAAGGCAGCCACCAUGGGGCGCACCUUGCCCCCUCCAAAGGCCC
ensembl:lncRNA